rfam:Schistosoma rodhaini strain Burundi genome assembly, scaffold: SROB_scaffold0004368
GUUCAUCUGACGAGUUCCAAAUAGGACGAAACUCACGUCAUGGAU